GUUAUAUCGAUAAUCAAAAUCUCAUUCGAGAUACACCAAACAGAAGAAUCGAUAAUACAAAAUGGCUUCUUGUUAAAGAAUGAACGUAUGCGUAUUAUCAAGUGGAGUGAUUCUAUAAUAUUUUCAUUAUUUAUAAUUUAUAUAAUAUCAACAUAGGCUCAUCAGAUAUAGAAGCUUUAGAUUCCAAAAGAGAAAUCAUUAUAGACUCAGAAUCAGAUAUGCUUGGCAAUCAAAGAAAAAAGAACAAAAGAAGACAUAAGCACCAUAAACAUAAAAAGGAUAGAGUGAUAAAGAAAAAAGAUGGAAUAGAUAGACAAGAAAGAAAAAAACAUAAGAAACAUAAAAGACCGCGUAAAGAGAAAGAAAUUGAAAAUGGUUCAUUGGAAGAAAACGCACCAUCUCGUAUUAAUCAGAAAGAAAUUGGUUUGAAUGGCAAGGUUAAAAAUUCUUUAUUAGAAAUUGUUUCUACAGAAGAAAGCGAAGAUGAAAAAUUAGUAGAUCUUGAUUCUGAUGAAGUAGAUUGUAGUAUUAUUGAAGAUGAUAUUGAUUUAGAAGAAUUAAUGAAACAGAAGGAACGAUUACAAGCAUGUUUAGUUCAAUAUUUGUCAGAUGAGUCAGAAAAGGAAGAUAAGGAACCAGAAGAGGAGGAAGAAGAAGAAGAAGGAGAGGAGGAUGAAGAAGAAGAAGAAGAAGAGGAGGAUGAAGAAACAAAAGCAGAAACUCCAGAUGUAAUACUCGUAGAAGAUGAUAGUGAAGAUGACAAUAUACUCCAUAAAAAACGACCUAGAAGUGAGUCAGGAAGUAGGGAACGUAAAAAAAUAGCAAGACCUGAAAGACGUGUCGUAGUUGAUAUGAGUAGAGAUCGAAGAAGCCGAGAGGACCAUAAAGACAAAAGAAGAGAUUCUGACAGAAGAAGAGAGGAUAAGAAUCGGCCAAGAGAAGAUAUAAAAAGGGAUGAUAUAAGAAGGGAUGAAAAACGAAAAAUUAAUGAAAGAUAUAAGGAAGAUUCGAGAAAAGAAGAUUCUAGAAAAAGGAUAGAAGAAGAGAGACGUAAAGAUACUAAUAGUAGAAGAGAUGAAUUACGCAAAAGAGAGCACGAUCGAAGGGAGGAAGAACGAGGAGACAGAAAACGAGACUUGAGUCGACAUUUAUCUAGAUCUCAUAACGAUUCUAAGUGUCAAGAUACUAAAAUGGAUAUUAAACAUAUUUCAUCGAGGCGUGAUAGUCGUGAUAGAGGAGACAAUCGGGACCGUCAAAGUAGUCGAGAUCGACAAUCAAGUCGUGAUCGACAUACUAGUCGCGAUCGUUAUAAUCGAGAUAGACCACUAAGUAAAGAUCGUCAUUCCAGUCGUGAUAAAAGAGAUAGUAGAGAACGACAUACUAGUCGAGAUCGUCAUGCCAACAGGGAUACACAAGUUAGUCGUGAUCGUAUGGACACUCGGGAUCGGCGCGAUAAUCGGAAUCAUGAGAAGAUUAGAGAACGAUCUAGAAGUACAAGAAGAUCUCGUAGUCCCCUUAGAAAUAGAAUGGAUAGAGAUCGCAACGAUCGUUAUAAAAGAUCGCGUUCUUUGUCUCGAAGUCGAAGGGAUAGGGAAAAACACAUACGAGAUCAUGAAAGGGAUAGAGAGAAGAAUGGUAAAAAGGAAAGAAGUGAUAAGUACAAAGACUCUUUAUCGGAAGGCCUAAAAGUAGAACGUUUUGACAGUUCUAGCGAAGAAGAGAUCAAGGAUAUUGAUAUCGAAGAAGAGGAAGAUGAGGAAGCUAUUAUCGAACGUAGAAGAAAACGAAGAGAAGAGUUAGUCAAGCGAUUAAGUGGACCAAACGAAGAUUCGAAUAUGUCUGCUGAUGUAACAGCUGUCACUGGAACUCCUCCAUCUGAAAGUCAUUCAAAUACAUCUCAAAAAUCACCGGAGAUACCUUCAAACAAUAAUGAAUCUACUUCUGAGAGUCACACUCCACCACUGCCUGAGAAACCAAAGUCACCACAGCCGGUUAAGAAAAGAAAGUCUAGAUUUGAGGAUGCAUUACCUGAAGAAUCUGAGAAGGUUGAAAGUACACAAAAUACAGAGAAAAUUAAGCAAGAUGAAAAACAAAGUACAAGAAAAGCAAAUGAAUGGGAUAUGUUUGCCGAAGCAGACAAUAUUGGUGAUUUUAAUAGUCCUACUGUUGAAGGAAAACGUUUAGGUGGUCCCGACAAUCCUAGUUUAACAGAUAAUUGGGAUGAUGCAGAAGGAUAUUAUCGCGUUCGAGUCGGUGAGACAUUAGAUUCGCGAUAUGUUGUUUAUGGUUACACAGGACAAGGAGUUUUCAGCAAUGUUGUAAGGGCUAGAGACAGUGCUCGAGGCAAUUUAGAUGUUGCAGUGAAAAUAAUUCGGAAUAAUGAAAUUAUGCAUCGUACUGGUCUCAAAGAACUAGAAAUACUUCGGAAACUUAAUGAUGCAGAUCCAGAAGACCGAUUUCAUUGUUUGAGAUUAUUUAGGCACUUCUUUCAUAAAAAUCAUUUAUGUAUGGUAUUUGAACCAUUAGCUAUGAAUUUAAGAGAGGUGUUGAAAAAAUAUGGUAAAGACGUUGGUCUGCAUGUCAAAGCUGUAAGGUCAUAUACACAACAGCUUUUCCUUGCAUUAAAAUUAUUAAAACGAGCAAAUAUUUUACACGCUGACAUUAAACCAGAUAACAUUCUAGUCAGUGAAAGUAAACUGGUAUUAAAACUUUGUGAUUUUGGUUCUGCAUCUCAUGCUCAUGAAAAUGAGAUAACACCAUAUCUUGUAUCAAGAUUUUAUCGUGCUCCUGAAAUUAUUCUUGGUAUACCAUAUGAUUUUGGCAUUGACAUGUGGUCUGUUGGAUGCACAAUAUAUGAAUUAUACACUGGAAAAAUAAUGUUUUCGGGCAAAACGAACAAUCAGAUGUUAAAGUUCUUCAUGGACCUAAAGGGCAAGAUGCCUAAUAAACUGAUAAGGAAAGGAACCUUCAAGGAUCAACAUUUUGACUCUAAUUCCAAUUUUCUUUAUCAUGAAGUUGAUAAAGUUACUGAGCGGGAAAAAAUCGUCGUAAUGUCUACUCUUCCGGCUACUCGUGAUCUUAAUGCAGAACUUGGUGGGAAUUCAUUACCGCCCGAACAAAGUCGGAAAGUUGGUCAGCUGAAAGAUCUGCUAGAACGCACAUUGAUGUUGGAUGCAGGGAAAAGAAUCACUGUGAACCAUGCUCUGGCGCACCCUUUUAUACAAGAAAAAAUUUAGGUAACCCUGCCUAGGGUCCUUCUACAACAGAAAAAUUAUUAACGUAAAUUUGUGAAUUUGAAAUAGACACCGCUAACGAUAAUCCGCAUUCACCGAAUACCAUCAAAUAUCAAAUACGGAUAUUGCUAGCCAAAAUGGUGUCUUACAUGAACUGUUUGUAUUGGUUUUAGCAGAAAGAGGCGGCGCAUAGUUUCAAGUGUAACUCAAUCAAGACAACGAAGAGCAUAAAGCAGUGAAUGAGUCAGACUGGAAAAAGUGACCGCCUCUUUCAGCAUGAACUGGCCAUCGAUACUUAGCAUUAUGGUGAUGAAUCUUCAAUUCGAAUCAUCUUUAUGUGCAAGCGGAGCUUUCAAGGGCCUUUAGUGCUGAUCCCGUUGCAAGCCCUCCCUGUGAGGAGGGGAGGCAACGGAAGAGAUCAGAUGCUGAGAAGGAAUGAUGAAAGGUGUCCCAAAGGAAUGGUAAAAACAACGCAUAGAUACUCUCUCUGCUCCAUCUCAUCAAACCUGCUUAAACAAGAUAUCAUCAUCGAAUCAUCAAAGAAUGGAUCAUCAAAGAUAGAACUAAUUAUGAGCCAGUACAAGGUUUGUCUUAAAAACGUAUUAAGGAAAACAAAACUGUAAGUACGUAUGCAGGUAAAGUAUAUUUCGUCAAAAUGUUAAAAAUACAAAAUUAUAGAGAUAUUGCAUUUUUAUGAUUUAUUUUUUUCGUAAUAUGAUAAGCAAUAAUUAAGAUUUUGAUACAUAUUCUAAUCAUUAUGACUUUGAGUUUUCAGAUAAUUAAUUAAAGAUCUCAAAAAAGUAUAACAACACGUAAUACUGAAGAAACAUACAAUGAAAGAUACUAUGUACUUUUAACAAAACCUAUAAUAUAUAAUAAAUAUAUUAGCAUAGUAUAUUCGCAAGCAAGAUAUGGAAAUUUUUACAUAAUGAAAUAUUAUCUAAUAAUUUUGUGUAAGAAUUGUAAUAAUGCAAAAAUAUAGUUUCUGUAUUGUACGAUCUCAAAA